rnacentral:lncRNA from 1 species
AAAAGUCAAAAAUAUCAAGUCAUGGAUGGUAACUAUAAUUAACAAAAAAAAGGUAUUUAUUUAGUAGAAAAAUAUAUCGAUGUCGUAAUACGUGAAGUCUUGCUUGAGAAUGCUCCGAGCACUUGGCUGUGGUAGGUAGAAUGGAAAUUGCAACAAAAAAAUUCUAACUAUAAUAGAAUACUAACUAAACUCUAAUUAGACCAUAAUAAUACUAAACAAGCUUUAAUCAAAUUCAAAGAAACCUCAAAGAAAUUUCAAAGAAUCAAUAAAAAAUCUUAAAAAAAUAUUAGAUUGAUCAUAAAUAUAUUUAAAAUAAAUCUCAAUUCAAUCUUAAUUUAAUCCUAGUUAAAAUCCUAUUGGACUUCAUUCAAACUUUAGGCCAAAACUAAUUAAAUCUUAAAUCCUAAAUAAACCCUAAUAAAAUCUUAAAUCCUAAAUCAAACCCAAAAUCACAAAACAAAUCCUAAAUCCUAAACCAAAUUCUAACCAAAUUCUAAACCAACUCCUAAAUACUAUACCAAACCUUGAUCAAAUCCUAAACCAAAAUCUAAUCAAAUCCUAAACAAAUCCUAAACCAAAUCCUAAACCAACGCCUAAAUCCUAAACCAAACCUUGAUCAAAUCCUAAACCAAACUCUAACCAAAUCCUAAAAAAAUCCUAAACCAAAUCCUAAAUCUUAAAUCAAAUCCUAACUAAAUCUUAAAUCCUAAAUCAAAUCCUAAACCUUAAAACAAAUCCUAAUCCUAAAUCAAAUCAUAACCAAAUCCUAAUCGUAGUCUUAAAUCCUAAACCAAAUCCUAACCAAACCUUAACCAAAUCCUAAACCAAACUCUAAAUCCUAAACCAAAUCCUAACCAAAUCCUAACCAAAUCCUAAAUAAAACCC